UGAAACCGUGUGCUUACAAGUAGUCAGAGCCCGUUAAUGGGUGAUGGCGUGCCUUUUGUAGAAUGAACCGGCGAGUUACGAUUUGAUGCAAGGUUAAGCAGUAAAUGUGGAGCCGUAGCGAAAGCGAGUCUGAAUAGGGCGUUUAGUAUUUGGUCGUAGACCCGAAACCAGGUGAUCUACCCUUGGUCAGGUUGAAGUUCAGGUAACACUGAAUGGAGGACCGAACCGACUUACGUUGAAAAGUGAGCGGAUGAACUGAGGGUAGCGGAGAAAUUCCAAUCGAACCUGGAGAUAGCUGGUUCUCUCCGAAAUAGCUUUAGGGCUAGCCUCAAGUGAUGAUUAUUGGAGGUAGAGCACUGUUUGGACGAGGGGCCCCUCUCGGGUUACCGAAUUCAGACAAACUCCGAAUGCCAAUUAAUUUAACUUGGGAGUCAGAACAUGGGUGAUAAGGUCCGUGUUCGAAAGGGAAACAGCCCAGACCACCAGCUAAGGUCCCAAAAUAUAUGUUAAGUGGAAAAGGAUGUGGCGUUGCCCAGACAACUAGGAUGUUGGCUUAGAAGCAGCCAUCAUUUAAAGAGUGCGUAAUAGCUCACUAGUCGAGUGACACUGCGCCGAAAAUGUACCGGGGCUAAACAUAUUACCGAAGCUGUGGAUUGUCCUUUGGACAAUGGUAGGAGAGCGUUCUAAGGGCGUUGAAGCAUGAUCGUAAGGACAUGUGGAGCGCUUAGAAGUGAGAAUGCCGGUGUGAGUAGCGAAAGACGGGUGAGAAUCCCGUCCACCGAUUGACUAAGGUUUCCAGAGGAAGGCUCGUCCGCUCUGGGUUAGUCGGGUCCUAAGCUGAGGCCGACAGGCGUAGGCGAUGGAUAACAGGUUGAUAUUCCUGUACCACCUAUAAUCGUUUUAAUCGAUGGGGGGACGCAGUAGGAUAGGCGAAGCGUGCGAUUGGAUUGCACGUCUAAGCAGUAAGGCUGAGUAUUAGGCAAAUCCGGUACUCGUUAAGGCUGAGCUGUGAUGGGGAGAAGACAUUGUGUCUUCGAGUCGUUGAUUUCACACUGCCGAGAAAAGCCUCUAGAUAGAAAAUAGGUGCCCGUACCGCAAACCGACACAGGUAGUCAAGAUGAGAAUUCUAAGGUGAGCGAGCGAACUCUCGUUAAGGAACUCGGCAAAAUGACCCCGUAACUUCGGGAGAAGGGGUGCUCUUUAGGGUUAACGCCCAGAAGAGCCGCAGUGAAUAGGCCCAAGCGACUGUUUAUCAAAAACACAGGUCUCUGCUAAACCGUAAGGUGAUGUAUAGGGGCUGACGCCUGCCCGGUGCUGGAAGGUUAAGAGGAGUGGUUAGCUUCUGCGAAGCUACGAAUCGAAGCCCCAGUAAA
rnacentral:rRNA from 1 species